CCCUAUGGGGUGCAGCAGGAUUGGUCCGUAUCUUCUUUUCUUCCUCUCCUCCCAUAUAAACAAGCCCAUCAAGGGACUUUGUUGUUACAUAAUGGUCGAGGUCCAUGGACUCCGUUUUCACGAAAGGUACCGAUUGUGUAUAAGUACCCAUCAUAUCUUUGUAUUUCUUCGUAACACCUACUUUAUCCAUACUUGCGGAAACAGGCGGUUUGAAAGCCGUAUAGAGUUUAUCAAAGGUUUUUGAUUUGAAAUAUUCGGUAGCUGCGGUAUCAUGUCCUCUCAAUAUUUUCAUGGCGUCCUGGAUAGACAUCCCCUUGAGCGCAUCGACAAUGAAUUGGCGGGGGGGC
rnacentral:rRNA from 1 species